rnacentral:rRNA from 1 species
UACGUAGGGUGCAAGCGUUAAUCGGAAUUACUGGGCGUAAAGCGUGCGCAGGCGGCUUUGCAAGACAGAUGUGAAAUCCCCGGGCUCAACCUGGGAACUGCAUUUGUGACUGCAAGGCUGGAGUACGGCAGAGGGGGAUGGAAUUCCGCGUGUAGCAGUGAAAUGCGUAGAUAUGCGGAGGAACACCGAUGGCGAAGGCAAUCCCCUGGGCCUGUACUGACGCACAUGCACGAAAGCGUGGGGAGCAAACAGG